CGAUGGAGGGGGAUAACUACUGGAAACGGUAGCUAAUACCGCAUAACGUCGCAAGACCAAAGAGGGGGACCUUCGGGCCUCUUGCCAUCGGAUGUGCCCAGAUGGGAUUAGCUAGUAGGUGGGGUAAGGCUCACCUAGGCGACGAUCCCUAGCUGGUCUGAGAGGAUGACCAGCCACACUGGAACUGAGACACGGUCCAG
rnacentral:rRNA from 1 species